rnacentral:rRNA from 1 species
CCGCGGUAACUCCAGCUCCAAUAGCGUAUAUUAAAGUUGUUGCGGUUAAAAAGCUCGUAGUCGGAUGUCUGUCUUCGGCCGGGCGGCGCCGCUCUGAAUCAAGGGUGUUGCGUUCUUUCGCUCUGGGAGACGGGUGUCAAAGCCCGACUCUCUUCACGGUCGGACAACAUCGCCGGAGUGGUGGCCGGUGGGUCGUCGGGUUAGCGGGUUUGGUGUGAGGGAGUUCGCUCUUUUCUACCUUUCUCGUCCGGCGGCUCGCUCCACCCGUCAAUCGUCCGGGGUGCCCUUUACCGGGUGUCUCGGGCGGCCGGCAACGUUUACUUUGAACAAAUUAGAGUGCUAAAAGCAGGUGUAUCCCAACGCCUGAAUAUCGCAACAUGGAAUGAUGGAAUAAG